rnacentral:lncRNA from 1 species
AUUGUCCGGCACUGAGAAGGAGAAAGGCCAGUGCGGCAUUGGGAAGUCUUGUCUAUGUAACCGCUUUGUGCGCCCAAGUGCUGAUGAGUUUCACCUGGACCACACUUCUGUCCUCAGCACCAGUGACUUUGGUGGGCGGGUGGUCAAUAAUGACCAUUUUCUGUACUGGGGAGAAGUUAGCCGCUCCCUGGAGGACUGUGUGGAAUGUAAGAUGCACAUUGUGGAGCAGACUGAGUUUAUUGACGAUCAGACUUUUCAACCUCAUCGAAGCACGGCACUGCAGCCCUACAUCAAGAGAGCCGCAGCCACCAAGCUUGCUUCAGCUGAAAAACUCAUGUAUUUUUGCACUGACCAGCUAGGGCUGGAGCAAGACUUUGAGCAGAAACAGAUGCCAGAUGGGAAGCUGCUGGUU